rnacentral:rRNA from 1 species
GACGUAGGGCGCGAGCGUUGUCCGGAUUUAUUGGGCGUAAAGAGCUCGUAGGCGGCUCGUUGCGUCGGCUGUGAAAACCCGCAGCUCAACUGUGGGCUUGCAGCUGAUACGGGCGGGCUGGAGUUCGGUAGGGGAGACUGGAAUUCCUGGUGUAGCGGUGAAAUGCGCAGAUAUCAGGAGGAACACCCGUGGCGAAGGCGGCUCUCUGGGACGGUACUGACGCUGAGACGCGAAAGCGUGGGGAGCGAACAGG